rnacentral:lncRNA from 1 species
GAUUAUUCAACGUCGGAUCGAAUCAUGUCCAAUGGCCAUUGGAAUUUUAUCUAUCCUUCUAUUUUUCAAGAUAAUUCAGAUUUGUUGGCGAAAAAGCGAAGAAAUAGGUUCGUCAUUCCAUUACAAUAUCAAGAACAAGAGAAAGAACUAAUAUCCUGUUUUGGGAUUUCGAUUGAAAUCCCCCUUAUGGGUGUUUUACGUAGAAAUACUAUUUUUUUUCUUAUUUUGACGAUCCCCGAUACAGAAAAGAUAAAAAGGGUUCAGGAAUUGUUAAAUUUAGAUAUAGGACCCUAGAAGAAGAAUAUAGGACUCGAGCGGAAGACUCAGAAGAGGAAUAUGAGACCCUAGAAGACGAAUACAGGACCCGAGAGGACGAAUAUGAAUAUGCAACCCUAGAAGAAUCUAAAUAUGGAAUCCUAGAAGACGAAUACGAAUAUGAAACCCUAGAAGACGAAUAUGGGAGCCCAGAAAACGAAUAUGGGAACCCAGAGAACGAAUAUAGGACUUUAGAUAAAGACUCAGAAGAGGAAUAUGGGAGCCCAGAGAGCAAAUAUAGGACCCAAGAGGACGAACAUGGAACUCUAGAGGAAGACUCAGAAGACGAAUAUGGCAUCCCCAGGGAAAGCAUAGAGGAAAAAUAUGGUACUUUAGAGGAAGACUCAGAAGAAGAUUCAGAGGACGAAUACAAGAGCCCAGAGGAAGAUUCCAGCUUAAAAAAAGUGGGUUUGAUUGAGCAUCAAGGAACAAAAGAAUUUAGUCUAAAAUACCAAAAAGAAGUAGAUCGUUUUUUUUUCAUUCUUCAAGAACUUCAUGUCUUGCCAAGAUCUUCAUCCCUAAAGAUACUUGACAAUAGUAUUAUUGGAGUGGAUACACAACUCACAAAAAAUACAAGAAGUCGACUAGGCGGACUGGUCCGAGUGAAGAGAAAAAAAGCCAUACGGAACGCAAAAUAUUUUCCGGAGAUAUUCAUUUUCCUGAAGAGGUGGAUAAGAUAUUAGGUGGCUGUUUGAUACCGCCAGAAAGACAAAAAAAGAUUCUAAGGAAUCAAAAAAGGAAAAAUUGGGUCUAUGUUCAACGGAAAAAAAUUCUCAAGAGCAAGGAAGAGUAUUUUGUUUUUGUUCGCCCUACAGUCGCAUAUGAAAUGGACGAAUGAAGAAAUUUAGCAACACUUUUCCCGCAGGAUCUCUUGCAAGAAGAAAAUAAUCUCCAAAUUUGACUUGUCAAUUUUAUUUCUCAUGAAAAUAGCAAGUUAACUCAAAGAAUUUAUCACACAAAUAGUCAAUUUGUUAGAACUUGGUUAGUAGUGAAUUGGGAACAAGAAGAAAAAGAAAAGGCUGGUGCUUCCCUUGUUGAGGUAAGAGCAAAUGAUCUUAUUCGGGAUUUCCUAAGAAUUGAGUUAGUCAAGUCCACUAUUUCGUACACACGAAAAAGGUAUGGUAGGACAAGUGCACUACCGAUUCCGCAUAAUAGGUUAGAUCGCGCCAAUAUCAAUUCUUUUUAUUCCAAGGCGAAGAUUGAAUCACUUAGCCAACAUCCAGAAGCUAUUGGCACUUUGUUGAAUCGAAAUAAAGAAUACCACUCUUUGAUGAUUUUGUCGGCAUCCAACUGUUCUUGAAUUGGUUUAUUCAAGAAUUGAAAACAUCCCAAUGUGAUAAAAGAAUGGAAUCCUAGAAUUCCUAUUCAACAAAACAUCCCAAUGCUAUUGUAGCUAGUAUAUCGCAUUUUUCUUCAUCUAACUAUUUACUAACGCAUAAUAAAAUCCUGUUAAAAAAAUAUUUGUUCAUUGACAUUUUAAAACAAACCUUCCAAGUACUUCAAGAACUUAAAUACUCUUUAAUAGAUGAAAAUAAAAGGAUUUCUAAUUUCGAUAGUAACAUAACGUUGGAUCCAUUCCUUUUGAAUUGUCACUUUGUCCAUCAUGAUUCAUGGGAAGAGACAUUGGCAAUAAUUCACCUUGGACAAUUUCUUUGUGAAAAUGUAUGUCUAUUUAAAUCGCACAUAAAAAAUCUGGUCAAAUUUUCAUUGUAAAUAUGAAUUCCUUUGUUAUAAGAGCAGCUAAACCUUAUUUGGCCACUACAGGAGCAACUAUUAAUGGUUAUUAUGGAGAAAUCCUUUACAAGGGAGAUAGGUUAGUUACGUUUAUAUAUGAAAAAUCGAGAUCUAGUGACAUAAUGCAAGAUCUUCCAAAAGUGGAACAAAUCUUUGAAGCGCGUUCAAUUGAUUCAUUAUCCCCGAAUCUCGAAAGGAAAAUUGAGGAUUGGAAUGAGCGUAUACCAAGAAUUCUUGGGGUCCCUUGGGGAUUCUUGAUUGGAGCUGAGCUAACCAUAGCCCAAAGUCGUAUCUCUUUGGUUAAUAAAAUCCAAAAGGUUUAUCGAUCCCAAGGGGUUCAGAUCCAUAAUAGACAUAUAGAGAUUAUUAUACGCCAAGUAACAUCAAAAGUGCGGGUUUCCGAAGAUGGAAUGUCUAAUGUUUUUUCGCCUGGGGAAUUAAUCGGACUAUUGCGAGCGGAACGAGCAGGACGAGGUUUGGAUGAAUCGAUCUAUUAUCGGGCAAUCUUAUUGGGAAUAACAAGGGCUUCCCUGAAUACCCAAAGUUUCAUAUCUGAAGCAAGUUUUCAAGAAACUGCUCGAGUAUUAGCAUAAGCUGCACUACGAGUUCGCAUUGAUUGGUUGAAAGGCUUGAAAGAAAACAUAGUUCUGGGGGGGAUUAUACCUGUUGGUACCGGAUUCCAAGAAUUUGUGCAUCGUUCCCCACAAGACAAGAACCUUUAUUUCAAAAUAAAAAAAAAUCUACUCGCGUCGGAAAUGAGAGAUUUUUUGUUUUCUCCAUACAUAAUUAGUUUCUUCAGAUUCUCACGUAACAAACAAUUUUUAUGAGACAUAAGAACCCCCAUUUUACAUUUAACCCUAUAUCAUUUAAGGAUACAUAAAAAAUAUUUUUUACUUUACUAGACUUUUGAAGUUAGAACACUAACAGGUCAAAUUUUUGAUUUUUAAGAUUUUUAUUUUAAUAUGUAAAAUCGCUUUGUCGAAAUCCCUAUAAUGAGUAGCAUUUGCGGCUGCCGAAUAAACCAACUUUAAGAUGGGAUAAGAUGCUCGAUAGGGCAUGAGGUUCAGUAUCAUAACAGUUUCCUCAUAGUAACGCCAUCGAAUCUCGUCAAGAACUCUUUGUGCUUUGAAAACAGACAUAGGGAUACGUUUUUGUGCUUUGAAAACUCUCUCGUACUUAAGUAGACGAUCGGUUGGAACUUUCCUUGCGAGUUUCAUUAAGGUGGUUAUGUUUAUACCAUGUAUCAAUGGCCAACUCUUAUCUUAGUACAAGGUUCUCUCGGAACAAUUAUAAUUUAUUUCAAGCUAUUUCGGAUCUUUCUUAAUCUUCAAAAAGAACUAAAUUCCGUAAUGGAAUGGUAGGAUUAAAAAAAAGCAAGUGUGGAAAAAAUGACAAGAAGAUAUUGGAACAUUAAUUUGAAAGAGAUGAUCGAAGCAGGAGUUCAUUUUGGUCAUGGUAUUAAGAAAUGGAUUCCUAAAGUUGCCCCUUACAUUUCGGCAAAGCGUAAAGGUACUCAUAUUAUAAAUCUCGCUAGAAUGGCUCUUUUUUAUCAAAAGCUUGUGAUUUAGUUUUUGAUGCAGCAAGUCAGGGAAAAAGUUUCUUAAUUGUUGGUACCAAAAAAAGAGCAACAGAUUUAGUAGCAUCAACUGCAAUAAGGGCUCGUUGUGAUUAUGUUAAUAAAAAGUGGUUCAGUGGUAUGUUAACGAAUUGGUCGAUUACGAAAACUAGACUUUCUCAAUUUAGAGACUUAAGAGCAGAAGAAAAAAUGGGAAAAUUCCACCAUCUCCCAAAAAGAGAUGUGGCAAUCUUGAAGAGAAAAUUAUCUACCUUGCAAAGGUAUCUCGGCGGGAUCAAAUAUAUGACGAGAUUGCCAGACAUUCUGAUCAUCCUUGAUCAGCAAAAAGAGUAUAUAGCUCUUCGGGAAUGUGCCAUUUUCGGGAUUCCUACUAUUUCUUUAGUCGAUACAAAUUGUGACCCGGAUCUCGCGAAUAUAUCGAUUCCAGCCAACGAUGACACUAUGACUUCAAUUCGAUUGAUUCUUAAAAAAUUAGUAUUUUCAAUUUGUGAGGGCCGUUCUCUCUAUCUAAGAAAUCAUUGAUUAAGAAUAUAUAGUGAAUUCUUGGGCAACUGCGUAAAUUUAUGGAAUCACUUACUUUACUAUAUCUUUUUUUGCAUAGAAUUUUUUUUUGCAUAGAAAAAAGAAGGGGAAUAUUGAUAUAUAUUAGAGGGUAUUGAUAUAUAUUAUGAUCUGAUGUGCUUUCUUGGUAUCCCAAAUAUAAGAUUAAUACUCAAGUUGCUGAGUUGAGAAAGUGAUUGUUGAAUCAAAAGAAUUCCUUUUUUUAAGUUCAGUUUUUAUCAGAGGACAAUAUGAAUAUUAUACCUUGUUCCCUUAAAACACUCAAGGGGUUAUACGAUAUAUCGGGUGUAGAAUUAGGCCAAGACUUCUAUUGGCAAAUAGGAGGUUUCCAAAUUCAUGCCCAAGUACUCAUCACUUCUUGGAUCGUAAUUACUAUCAUGCUAGGUUCAGUUGUCAUAGUUGUUCAGAAUCCACAAACCAUCCCGACCGACGGUCAGAAUUUUUUUGAAUAUGUCCUUGAAAUUAUUCGAGACUUGAGAAAAACUCAGAUUGGAGAAGAAUAUGGUCCCUGGGUUCCCUUUAUUGGAACUAUCUUCCUUUUUAUUUUUGUUUCGGAUUGGUCGGGUGCUCUUUUACCUUGGAAAAUUAUAGAGUUACCCCAUGGGGAAUUAGCAGCGCCCAAAAAUGAUAUAAAUACUAAUGUUGCUUUAGCUUUACUCACGUCAGUGGCAUAUUUUUAUGUUGGUCUUAGCAAAAAAGGAUUGAGCUAUUUCGAGAAAUAUAUUAAACUAACUCCAAUCCUUUUACCAAUUAACAUCCUAGAAGAUUUCACAAAACCAUUAUCGCUUAGCUUUCGACUUUUCGGGAAUAUAUUGGCGGGUGAAUUAGUCGUUGUUGUUCUUGUUUCUUUAGUCCCCUUAGUAUUCAAGCUCUUAUUUUUGCAACAUUAGUCGCAGCCUAUAUAGGUGAAUCCAUGGAGGGUCAUCAUUGAAUUGACUCUUUUUGGUAAUAGUAUUUUUUUGCAGCUUAGCUCAAUUCAUGUUCCAGAUAAUCUACUUGGUUGCAAAAAAUAGUUAGAAAUGCGUAUGAAUAUAUAGCCUAGAGUUGUAGGAGAGAGAAUAGAAUAGACUAUAUUAUGGAAUUUUCAAAGUAUAUAUGCAUUAAGGAGGAUGGAGUCAGGCUAGAUCUAUACUAUAAUAUCCUUAAUGUCUAUAAGUGGAGUCCUCUUUUAUGCGGGUUUCCACUUUAAGCAAUGAUUUUAGAAUCCGAUUCAAUAGAAAAUGAGAAAAUAUGCAAACAAAAUAGAAGAAACAAAUGUUAUUUAUAUAGGAUAUUAUAUUAUAUAUUCCUAGGUUAGAUUCAUUAUCUAAUCCGAUAUAUGCACUACAGGAAUCAGCUAUUUUGCCGUCUGCCACGGCGGACGGCAAAGGCACGAACGGCGGACGGCAAAGGCCUUUGCCGUCAGCCGCGGACGGCAAAAGGCUCCGGCAAAGUAGGCUACAGUAAAGAGCUACUUUGCCGUCUGCUUCCGGGCGGCUGACGGCAAAGGCCCCUUUGCCGUCUGCCGCGGACGGCAAAGAGAGCGAACGGCAAUAAUUGCGCUGUCAGUCCGUUAAGUGGCUAACGGCAGGCCUUUGCCGUCCGCGGCAGACGGCAAACUUUCUAGUGUCUUUGCCGUCCGCCGUAUGAUGUCAUCUACACGUCACAACACGGCAGGCCUUUGCCGUCUGCCGCGGACGGCAAAAUUGUUUACUCUUUGCCGUCUGCCACUGUAGGCAAACUGACCAAAUGGGUCAGCUCCCAGGAAGCACAGCUGCAUGCCACGUGGCUUCUUUGUCUUCCGCAGCAGACGGCAAAGAGCCCGUUGCCGUCGGUGGCAGACGGCAAAGAGCCUGCAUAUUGGCUCUUUUUUCUGUUUUUUAUUAAAUCCAACAAUUUUCACAGCAAAUAUAUAUGACAUAUAUAGAUAUAUUUCACAGGCAUUCAUAUCACAUAUAUCCAGCACAUAAGUUCCAUACAUUCAUACAUAAGCAAGUUCAAUCCAUUCAUACAUAAGCAAGUUCCAUCCAUAUAUACAUAUUACAUAAGCAAGUUCCAUCCAUCAAUUCAUACAUAAACAAGUUCCAUCCAUACAUAAACAAGCACUCCAUAGCAAGCUAGCUUCCAUGAAGUGAAUGAAAUCUGCAAAAUGGCAAAAUAAGAAAGUUAGAAAUAGGUGACUAGAAUAAGAAGACUAGAACAAGAAGAGUAGAACAAGAAGAAGACUAGAACAAGAAGAGUAGAACAAGAAGAAGACUAGAACAAGAAGAGUAGAACAAGAAGAAGACUAGAACAAGAAGAGUAUGUCAUUUAUGAGCUAACUUACGUGAAAUGGAUCAUAUAUGAGCUAACUAAGUUGAAAUGGGUCGUUUAUGAGCUAGCUAAGGUGAAAUGGAUCAUUUAUGAGCUAACUUAGUUGAAAUGGGUCGUUUAUGAGCUAACUAAGGUCAAAUAGAUCGUUUUUGAGGUAACUAAGGUGAAAUGGAUCGUUUUUUAGCUAACUUAGGUGAAAUGGAUCAUUUAUGAGCUAACUUAGUUGAAAUGGAUCGUUUUUGAGCUAACUUAGGUGAAAUGGAUCAUUUAUGAGCUAAUUUAGUUGAAAUGGAUCUUUUUGAGCUAACUUAGGUGAAAUGGAUCAUUUAAGAGCUAACUUGGUGAAAUGGAUCGUUUUUGAGCUAACUUGGUGAAAUGGAUCGUUUAUGAGCUAAAUUAGUUGAAAUGGAUCGUUUAUGAGAUAACCUAGGUAAGAUGGGUCAUUUUGGAGUUAACCUAGGUGAAAUGGGUCAUUUUAAAGCUAACGUAGGUAAAAUGGAUCAUUUAGGAGCUAAUCUAGGUAAAAUGGGUCAUUUUUUAGCUAACUUGGAUGAACUGGAUCAUUUAUAAGCUAACCAAGGUAAAAUGGGUCAUUUUAGAGCUAACUUAGGUAAAAUGGAUCAUUUAGGAGCUAAUCUAGGUAAAAUGGGUCAUUUUUUAGCUAACUUGGAUGAACUGGAUCAUUUAUAAGCUAACCAAGGUAAAAAUGGGUCAUUUUAGAGCUAACUUAGGUAAAAUGGAUCGUUUAUGAGCUAACUAAGCUAAUUAUGCAAUUUUUGACAUAAGUAAGCUAAGUACAGAUCGUUUUAGAGCUAACUUAGGUAAAAUGGAUGGUUUUGGAGGUCAGUAAGCUUAUUAAGUCAUUUUGGAGGAGAAGAAGCUAAGUCUAGGUCAUUAUGGUAAGCAUGGGAGGAAAUAAAGCUAAGUCUAGGUCUUUAUGCAUGUGUUAAGCAAAACACUAGAUAAACUUACCAUGAUCCAGGAGGUGUAGGAGCGGGCUGGCUCGUGUCGGUACCUGGAGAAGGAUCGUGCGAUGCUUGUCUAGAGUUACGCUGCACCAAAGAUCAUUUCCAAUGUCUUGUUAGCAUGAUGACACUCAAAUGUUAAGACUAGCAAGUAAUGUCCAUUCAAAUUAAACUUACCGUGGUCCCAGGAGCAAUCACUGGCAUCGGCGGAGCGGUCUGACCGGUCUUCUUGCACACAGACUGCACAUUUGGUUUUGACGACUCAGUCAUACUAGUUAGUAAUGAGACAAACACUACAUGAAUGUUUUGGCUAAUCUGCAGAAGAAACUUACCACAAGGAGCUCGUACAUGGCCCUUGCCUGCAUGUCAUUCCGUGCCCUCUCCUCCUCCAACAUCUUUGUCGUCCUCUCCUCCAACUCCCGCUGCCUCUCCGCCGCCUCUGCCAGAAGUUUCUCCGUUCUAUCUCUCUCACUCUGUAUAGCAGCCUGCAACACCACUCACAUGACCAUUUGUAAUCAUUGAUGGAAGCGCACACAAUGUAAUGGAGAAAGAUAGCUGAGUACGUAUCACUAACCUUGAUGGCGAGUGGCACUGGCCGUUCACGAGGCCUUAUCUCAGGAGCGGAGCUCGACUGGCGCGCCUUGAUCUCCGGGAGAGUGCUAGGACAACGGAUAAGUCCAUCUCCAAUGGCUAUGGAGCAAUGGGACCUCCCGCCACCAGAUAUCAUCACCAGCUCUGGAUCAAUGGGACCCUGGCUCGGGUUAAAGUCCUCCCCUUUCCUCGCCUUCCCCUCAUCUCUAUAUCUCACGAGCUUGUUGUGGGAGGAGAUGUUGGUGAAGUUGUUUGCAUCAUCAAGAUCAGACUGAGAGAAAGCCUUGACUUUCUUGAAAGAGGCAGUGUGGGCCAUGGCAUACAGGUCGUACACCUCUGGCACCUUAUCCACCUUAUUGUGGCGUGCCUGAAAGAGAGAAACAAUGUAAAUUAGUAAUUAAAGGGCUCAAGCUAGCAUGAUGAAUGAAUUGCAUGAAUCAUGAAGCAAACCACAUACCCAGUUCCGCCCGAACUGAUAUAAGUUGGAGCUGCCUUGAUGGUGUGGCACACCUUACAUUUGGGCACGUUUGUCCUUGGCCUCGUUGUGGAGGGCUAGCCAUUCUUUUGAGCACCACUCAUUGACCAACACCUCCCAACAAUCCAUCCAAUCCGCACACCAUCUUGGAGGUGCCUAAGUUAGCAAAUAGAAACUUGAGCGCUACGGCUAAGAAUUACUAAAUGAAGGAACUUAAGUAGAAGGCCUUAAGAAUUACCUUCAUGUACUGCUCCUUACGCAGGAACUUAUCGCGGCACGCCGGCUUGGUCUUCUUGAUACCACGCAAGGCGUAGUAGUCUCGAACAGCCUGCACCCGAGCCUCGUGCCGUAAGUUCUGUAGUAGGCGCUUGCAGACGUUCUCGAUAACAUGUGCCGCGUCCUCCUCGUAUCCCUCCUCACACCUGUAGAAUGUCUGCAAUCAAAUGAGACAAUAUUGAUUAGUACAAUUAAUAACUAGCUAGUUGAAGAUUUUUAAAUGUGUAAAGGAGAAAUUACGCAGAACUUUCUGAUCACCAUGUCUGCCCUCGUGUCGCACAAGACACCGUCAAUAAUCUCAUCCGGCGGGGCCGGGGCAGCCAAGUAGUGCUCCCAGCUCAAUCCAAGCUCUGGAAGCCGACCCUCACCAGGCAACGUGACAAACCCCGGGAAGUUUUUCCGGCAAAGAACUCCAAGGACGGAGUUGGGCCGGCGGACACUAUGAUGGUGGUCCCAACCCCUGCAGCAUGACAAGGCCAACACAUUAGUUAUUUGAAGAAACGUGAAUGCAGAAGGUACAAAAAUAUUAAAUGCACUUACGUACCUCUCCCCAUCAGGGAAAAUCAACCACCUCUGCUCGCGGGUCGCCGGCACUGACGGGAGCCGUGUAGCACCACGCUGGUAGACGGUGCCCCCCUCCUCCUUAAAAUCAGUCGGCUCCCCGCCAUCAUCAGCAUGGCCACUCGGCUCCUCGGGCUGAUCCGGCCAGGUACCCCAUCCGGACGUGUGCUCCUCUGGGGUCUCGUGGGCCGAACUCUCGUGGGCCGAAGGCCAGUCGACCCGAGGCUCGUGGGCCCAAGACCCGUGGACCGGAGGCUCGUGGACCGGAGUCCGUGUAGCCUCCUCCUCGGACGAGUCCACCCUAGCAGUCACGUGCUCAGGUGAAACAGCUGGGGGUGGCGGCGAGGAAGGCGCCGUAGCAGUCACCCUACCUCCUCUCCCGCGACCACGUGCCCCACCUCCUCUCUUCCUACCUCGUCCCCUGCUGGGCACCGCGGUCGACGAAGAAGGGCCCGGCGGUGUCGCCAUACUGUCCAGCAACGCUCGACGGAGAGGUGCGUCUGGAACGGAAGACCUCAGACCACGCGCCGACGAAGAAGGGGCCUUGGCGCGCUCCCGACCAGCGCCCACCAUCUUUCAACACCUGCCAUGACAAACAGUAAACGAAAUUAGUACAACAUAAAAAAAGACCGACAUGAAUAAUAAUAUGUGUAUCACUUAAGUGUAUCAUCAUCAAGUACAACAUAAAAAAAUUUAAUACCUGACACUACUAAUAAUUUCGAUCAGUAUCAUCAAUAAAUGCAUAAUCAUCAUCAUCAUCACUAUAAUCAAUGACGGGCUCAUAGGGUUCAGUGGCAUCAACAUGUGGAAGGCCACCUUGACGUAAUCGGUCAAGCAAUGACAGGUCAUCCGCAGCAGUAACCUCUUCUUGUUCCGGCUCUUCUUGUUCCUCCUCAGGGGUGAUGUCGGAUUCACUGUCGCUGUCUACUUCAAUGUUUUGUGGUGAAGUAUAGCGGUUCUUGAAACGCUUUUUGGAAAGACGUGUCUCUUGGAAGAAUUCUCCUUCAUAUGUGUCUGGGUUAAUGUGAGGUUCAUAAUCCUCUUCCUUUGGGGGAGAUAGUCUAGCACGUGGCGGCACUUCAUAAACGACAUCCCAACCUUUCAGAUUUGGAUUAGUUUGGCAGGCCCACGGUAGAUAGAAUACUUGGGUCGCCUGUUGAGCCGUAAUAUAGACAUCAGGAACAUCUAAAUGGGUGCUUUGCUUGAUUUCAACUAGCCCUAUAUGUUCAUGAGUCCUUCUAGUCUCCUUCGGCUGAAACCAAUAACAUUUGAAGACUACGACAUUCGGUGGGUUUUCACCAUAGAAUAGAAGUUCAUAAAUUGCUUCAACUCUCCCAUAAUACUCGGUACCUCCUUCGCCGAUAGCAGAUACACAACAAUUUGUAGACUUUCGGUCGGCCAUAGAUAGCUCUUUGCCAUAGGUACGAAAGCGAUACCCGUUGAUGUCGUAUUUGUCAAAUGAACGGACCUUACAGUCAAAACCAUUAGCGACUUGUCUCAAUUCGGCGUCCAUAGACUCUGAAUUAGCCUACAAGUUUAAUAUGAAAGGAUUGUUGCAUUACGCACAAAUUAGCGAAUGAAAUGAAAUUGUCUAAUAGAAAUUACCGUUUGUUUGAACCAAGAGAUGAAACCGGGAUAGCCGCCUCCUUGCUUUGCGAGAAGCUCAUACUCUUCGACGGAAUCCUUUUGGAUCACCGCUCCAUACGAGAAUAAGGCGACGUAUCAACUGUAUGAAAUAUCCAGGAAUAAGAGCAGUUCAAAGGAAAUAGAAGUUGCGAAACAAUGUACUGAGAACUUACUCGAUGUACGGCCGCACUUCUAUCAGGUUGUUGAAGAUAUACAACGAAAUGGUCCGCCAUUGUUCGUUAUCCAAAGAUACUGGAUUUGAAACACUGGCGAGUGCGAGAUUCCCUUUGAAUAGGCUGAGGUUGGAUCCACCCUUUUUAGGGUCGUCAGCAUUGUACCGAGGCUUCGGAUUAUGCAAAUGACGAUUUUUGGCUUCGUAGUGUGCUGUCACGAAGUUUGCCGCCUCCUCAGUGAUGAAUGCCUCAGCCAUCGAUGGUUCAAUUCUACGUUUAUUUUUACAUUUUUGUCGAAGCGUCUUCUGCAUCCUCUCAGUUGGGUAGCACCAACAAUUUUGCACGGGCCCCCCAAUCUUGCCUCGGUCGGGAGAUGCAAAAUCAAAUGUUGCAUUGGAUUAAAGAAGCCCGGUGGAAAGAUCUUCUCUAACUUGUAGAUCAACUCCGGCGCCAACUCUUCCAUUUCUUCUAGCACGCUAGGCGAUAGUUCUUUCGCACAAAGAACACGGAAGAAAUAGCUGAGUUCUGCCAGUACUAGCCAUUCAUCCUCAGGGAUGAAGCCAUGCAACAUCACCGGCAUUACCCGCUCAAUCCAUAUGUGCCAAUCAUGACUCUUGAGACCAAAUAUCUUCAAUUUAUAAGACUGGCUCCCCUCUUUAGAUUCGCUGCAUACCCAUCGGGGAACAUCAACUGCAUUUUCACCGACAAGAUAAUUUCCCUCAUAGCUAGCCUUCCAAGAUUGAACCAUGCCUUUGGCUUCGUCCAGUUCUGCUUUCCUUUCGGUUCUUUCAUGUUUUGUAACGGCCUAUCACAUAGCGCCUCCAGAUCGACUCUAGCCUUAGUAUUAUCCUUUGACUUCCCAUCUAUGCCGAACAAUGUACCAAAAAGUGCCUCGGCGAUAUUCUUCUCAGUGUGCAUCACGUCGAUGUUGUGUGGGCAAAGGAGGUCUUUGAAGUAAGGCAGAUCCCAUAAGCAUGUUUUGUGAGUCCAGGCGUGCUUAGAAUUAUACCCCUUGAAGUACCCUGGACGCUCUGGAUCUGGCUCGAGAGCGUUUAACUGAUCCAGGGUCUGUUGGCCUGUCAAUGCAGGUGGUGCAGAGUUUUUGACAACUCUACCUCUGAUGAAGUUCUUCUUGUCUUUCCUGAACUUAUGGCGAGGAUUCAGGAACUGUCUAUGCAUGUCGAAGCAAGAAAACUUGCGACCGGCCUGAAGCCAACGAAACUCAAGAGCUCCCUUGCAUGUGGGGCACGGGAACCUUCCAUGCACACACCAGCCAACGAAUAGCGCAUACGCCGGCAAGUCAUGCGUCGAGUACAUGUACCAGACACGCAUUAUGAAGUUCCGUUUGCUAUAGGCGUCGUAUGUCUUGAACCCAUUAUCCCAGGCUUCUUGCAAUUCGUCCUUAAGCGGCUGCAUGUACACAUUCAUAUUUUUCCCCGGAUAGUUGGGCCCUGGAAUUAUCAACGUCAGGAAAAUGUUCUUUCUUUGCAUAAUCUGUCCGGGGGGGAGAUUGAGUGGGAAGACAAAUACGGGCCAACAACUGUAUUGGGCUGCCGUCAUACCAAACACACUGAACCCAUCCGUGCUGAUGCCGACUCGAGGAUGCCUCGGAUCUGCCGCUUUUUCAGCAUGUAAUUCAUCAAACUUUUUCCACGCAACACCAUCCGAUGUGUGUACAAUCAUCAGAUUCCCAUCUGCAUCUAGUUCGGUUCUUUUGCCCGUUUUGUGCCAUGUCAUCUGUCUGGCCGUCUCUUUGACCAUGAAAAGACGUUGAAGUCUUGGUAUGAUUGGCAUAUACCGAAGAACACUAACGGGGAUUUUGGUCCGUGUCUUCUCACCCAUACCGUUGUCUACCACAACAUACCUGGAAGACUUGCAAAUGGGACAAUAGUUCAAGUCCGCAUAGUCAAGCCUAAACAAGACACAUCCUUUCUCACAGGCAUGUAUCUUAUCAUAGGGCAUCUUCAGUGCACGGAGGAUUUUGUCCGACUGGUACAGGUUUGCAGGCAUUACAUGGCCUUUGGGUAGAAAGCGUCCAAAUACUGUCAUCAUUGCAUUGUAGCAUUCUCUGCCCAAGUUGAACUGAGCCUUCAGAGCCAUUACUUGUGAGAUGGCAUCCAACUAACAAAGCUCAGUGUGCUCACGGAGCGGACGUUUUGAAGACUCCAACAUUUCAUUGAGGGCCUUUGCAGAUUCCUCCAUCUCCUCAUCCGAAUCCCGAGCAUCAUCAAAGUCUUGCACCAUGUUUUCCAUCCCGGUACCAUGCUCGUCGGUGCGACGACGAUCCACCUCAGCUCGGUCACGUUGGGCAGACUCACCAUGAAAUGUGCACACCGUAUAAUCGGGCGUAAAACCACUCUUCUGCAGGUGUUUGCCCAUUUCAGCCUCUGUCCUCAUUUCCCAAUUGCCGCACCGUAAACAGGGGCACCAGGUUUUCCUCUGGCCAUUUGCAAAUGCGGCUCGCACAAACCCCUUGGUUUUUGUGAACCAUUCAGUGCUCCAUUUGUUCUGACCAGUGUGACCGGUGUACAUCCACGCACGAUCACUCAUCUUGACUUUCAGAGCUACUAGACACACAACAAAUAUAUAUAUAUAUAUAUAAAAAAUUCACCAUGUAUAUAUUCAUCAAUUGAUCUACUUUGUCAAUUUUAUUACGUCCAUGCAACCUACACUCUAAUAGGUAAUGAUAGGUCCUAAUCCCACCCGAGUAUGUUUAGAUUGGGUUCAUUUUCCCAUGCUAUGCUCCGGAUCCUACGCAAAAUUUCGGCAGCACCUCCCCGCUGUUCUCCUGAUACACGUCUCUGCAAUAAACAGAGAGGAUGUGUACCCGGAGAACAACAGGGGAGGCACUGACGAAACUUAUGCGUCAGAUCCGGAGCAAAGCAUAUGGGAAAACGAACCCAAUCUAAACAUACUCGGGCUGUCCAUGGAUAGCGUUGGACAAUUCGAAAGAAUCAAGGUUAUAAAUAUGCAAAUGCAUGCAUAUUUAUAACUAUGACGCUUUCGAACAGGAGACACAUAUUGGUUACGCAUACUGAUGAUUCAAGACACAUAUAUAGCUAGCUAUCAAGUUUCAUCGGCACGAACACCGGAAUAGAGCAAAUAAUUAAAGGUGGAGGAGGACAUGUCAUUUGUGCUCACCCACGAACGAAGGGGCAGAGCUCGUCAAACGCACGGCGAGGUCGUCGACCACCAAACCUCGCAGCGAUGAAACAACUACACAUUUAAAUCUACCCGAUCAACACAAUUAUAUAUGAUGUUUUCAUAACAAAAUCGAAAAAUAUAUGACCUAACUAAUAAGUCACAAAUAUAUGACCCUGUCAGGGUGUCGGGGUCGGGGUCGGGGUGUGGGUCGGGGUGUGGUGUCAGGGUGUCGGUAGUCGGGGUAAGGGUGGGUGUGGUGUCAGGGUGUCGGGGUCGGGGUGUCGUGCCAGGGUGUCGUGUCNNNNNNNNNNNNNNNNNNNNNNNNNNNNNNNNNNNNNNNNNNNNNNNNNNNNNNNNNNNNNNNNNNNNNNNNNNNNNNNNNNNNNNNNNNNNNNNNNNNNNNNNNNNNNNNNNNNNNNNNNNNNNNNNNNNNNNNNNNNNNNNNNNNNNNNNNNNNNNNNNNNNNNNNNNNNNNNNNNNNNNNNNNNNNNNNNNNNNNNNNNNNNNNNNNNNNNNNNNNNNNNNNNNNNNNNNNNNNNNNNNNNNNNNNNNNNNNNNNNNNNNNNNNNNNNNNNNNNNNNNNNNNNNNNNNNNNNNNNNNNNNNNNNNNNNNNNNNNNNNNNNNNNNNNNNNNNNNNNNNNNNNNNNNNNNNNNNNNNNNNNNNNNNNNNNNNNNNNNNNNNNNNNNNNNNNNNNNNNNNNNNNNNNNNNNNNNNNNNNNNNNNNNNNNNNNNNNNNNNNNNNNNNNNNNNNNNNNNNNNNNNNNNNNNNNNNNNNNNNNNNNNNNNNNNNNNNNNNNNNNNNNNNNNNNNNNNNNNNNNNNNNNNNNNNNNNNNNNNNNNNNNNNNNNNNNNNNNNNNNNNNNNNNNNNNNNNNNNNNNNNNNNNNNNNNNNNNNNNNNNNNNNNNNNNNNNNNNNNNNNNNNNNNNNNNNNNNNNNNNNNNNNNNNNNNNNNNNNNNNNNNNNNNNNNNNNNNNNNNNNNNNNNNNNNNNNNNNNNNNNNNNNNNNNNNNNNNNNNNNNNNNNNNNNNNNNNNNNNNNNNNNNNNNNNNNNNNNNNNNNNNNNNNNNNNNNNNNNNNNNNNNNNNNNNNNNNNNNNNNNNNNNNNNNNNNNNNNNNNNNNNNNNNNNNNNNNNNNNNNNNNGGGGAGGAGAGAGGGAGAGAAGAGAGAGUAACUGGCGGGGGGGUAGGUUCCGUUAGGUACUCUCCUCUUUGCUGUCCGCGCCUCUUUGCCGUCCGCCUUUAUGUCUCUUUGCCCAGACGGCAAAGAGGUGGGGCGUUAAGUUUUUUCCAAACGGGCGGGGGGUGGGGGCCACCUCUCUCUUUGCCGUCUGCCAGCGGACGGCAAAGAUUCUUUGCCGUCUGCUAGCAGACGGCAAAGAGCUCGCAGAUGGCAAAGACCUGUUUUGUCGUCUGCCAUUUCUUUGCCUUCUGCUUUUGGGUAGCUGAUGGCAAAGAGUUUCUUUGCCGUCAGCUAGCAGACGGCAAAGAGCUGGCAGAUGGCAAAUUAGCUGAUUCCAGUAGUGAUGGAUAUGGAAUUCCCUUCUAUGUAGUUCGUACAAUUCACAUUAUCUUUUCAAUUUGAUUUCAAUUUUUACUUUUUAGUUACUUUACUUCUCCCCAAUAGAGCUUAGAAGUAAGAAUUUAUUGGUUGAUUGUAUCCUUCACCAUUUCUUUUUUUUUGACAAGAGGAACUACUCACCAUGAAUCCACUAAUUGCUGUUGCUUCUGUUAUUGCUGCUGGAUUGGCCGUAGGGCUUGCUUCUAUUGGACCUGGAGUUGGUCAAGGUACUGCUGCAGGACAAGCUGUAGAAGGUAUUGCGAGAGAGCCAGAAGCAGAAGGUAAAAUACGAAGUACUUUAUUGCUUAGUCUAGCUUUUAUGGAAGCUUUAAUAAUUUAUGGACUAGUUGUGGCACUAGCGCUUUUAUUUGCGAACCGUUUUGUUUAAUCUUAAAAAAAAUCUUUCGAUUUUGAUUAGAUACUUUUUUAUUUUUUUAGUAAAUUGGUAUUUGCUUCCGCAAUUCCAAUUAUAUCAAUACUUUAUUUAAUUUACUCCUAUUUAUUACUCCUAGAAUUAUCUAUUUAUCAGGACAGAUAAUACCCCAUUCUAGGAAGGGCUGAGUUGAGUAUUGUUAAUUUAGAAGAUAUGCUCACCUUCUUAUUUCCCAUGCUUAGUUUAGGAAAGUGGAAAGUUUUUUCCUUUUAUUUUAGGAAUUUUGGGAACAGAAUAUUUCUACAAAGGAAGUCUUUCAUCGGUCAAACAAGACGUAAGACUUAAUCUAAAAGAAAUUACUAGAUUGAAUCUAUUUGCAUUAAAAAACGAUCAAAAAAGGGCGAGUGAAGUAAGUGAUCGAAAAACUUUGUUCUUUGUUCGUCCUAUCUAUAAGAGGAGAGCAUAUGAAAAAUGUAACCCAUUCUUUUGUUUUUUUAGCUCACUGGCCACCCGUUGGCAGUUUCAGGCUUCAUACCGAUAUUUUAGCAACAAAUCUAAUAAAUCUAACUGUAGUGGUUGGUGUUUUGAUUUUUUUUGGAAAGGGAGUGUGUGCGAGUUGUCUAUUUUAAGAAUAGAUUGGAUCUAUCCGACUGCACUUUAUAAUAUUUUUUAGUAUUUUUCGGAUAAAUAAGAUAAGGGUGCAGGAUCUCGACGAAUUACUUCUGAAUAAAUUCAGAAAUCAUAUGGAAGAACCAUAGCAUUUCGCGACUCAUUGGUAAAUCAACUUUGAUUCUCUAUAAACCAAGAAUGUGAGACCAUUAACACGAUUAAAGCUAAACUGCUUGAAGUCCAGGCAAAAAGAGGUACUCUUUCUACAACUAUAUUAGUAUUAGUACCGAAUUUUAACGGGAAAUAGCUAAUGUAAAAUUUAUCUGAUAUAGAACACUCAUAUCGAUAAAAUGGUUUGAACUAUUUACUAGGAAAAAAGGGGGCACCCUGCCCUUUUUUAACCAAUGACGAAUCGACGACCUAUGUAUAAAAAAGAGACAAGUUUUUGGAUUUGAAGAAAAAAAUAAAAAUAAUUCUAUUUAUUUUCAUUUUCCAUUAUUUAGUUAGUUUUUCUUAAUGAAAUUCAAAUUAUUAACUAGAGAGCAAAUAAAAAUAAAGAAACAACUUUGCUGACCAUGAUAUAUUUUUAUCUAGGCGAAAGAGUCCUCUUAAUAUUUAUCUAGUCUUAUAUAGGUUUCGCUAUAUUGAAAUAUAAACAUAAAAAAGAAGAUAGAGAAUAGUCUCAUUACUUAAAAAAAGAUAUGGAAAUAGCUAUAGAAAAAAAGGAGCGUGAGAGCCAAAUGAAUCGAAAGAUUCAUGUUUGGUUCGGGAAGAGAUCAUAAAAGUUGUAAACUUACAAAAUAAUCUACUUUCAUUAAAAGAUUUAUUAGAUAAUCGAAAACAAAGGAUCUUGGGUACUAUUCGAAAUUUAGAAGAAUUGCGUAGAGGGACCAUUGAGCAACUCGAAAAAUCUCGGAUUCGAUUACAUAAAGUCGAACUAGAAGCGGAUGAGUAUCGAAUGAAUGGAUACUCUGAGAUAGAACGAGAAAAAGCAAAUUUGAUUAAUGCUACUUCUAUUAGUUUGGAACAAUUGGAAAAGUCUAAAAACGAAGCCCUUUAUUUUGAAAAACAAAGGGCAAUGAAUCAGGUCCGACAGCGGGUUUUCCAACAGGCCGUACAAGGAGGUCUAGGAACUCUGAAUAGUUGUUUGAAUACCGAGUUACAUUUCCGUACGAUUCAUGCUAAUAUUGGCAUUCUCGGGUCCCUAGAAUGGAAGAGAUAAUUAAAUUAAUUAGGCCUUGAACUUCUACUUUCGUUUAGAAUUUAGGCAUUAUUUUUCCCCUUGCUUCCGAAAAAAGAGUCAAGAAACACUAAUGGCAACCCUUCGAGUCAACGAAAUUCAUAAAAUUCUCCGUGAACGUAUUGAAUAUAAUAGGAAAGUAGGGAUUGAGAAUAUAGGUCGCAUAGUUCAAGUGGGCGAUGGGAUUGCUCGUAUUAUAGGUCUUGGUGAAAUAAUAUCAGGUGAAUUAGUCGAAUUUGCAGAAGGUACUAGGGGUAUUUCUUUGAAUUUGGAAUCCAAAAAUGUUGGGAUUGUAUUAAUGGGCGAUGGGUUGAUGAUACAAGAGGGAAGUUUUGUAAAAGCAACAGGAAGAAUUGCUCAGAUACCCGUGAGUGAAGCUUACUUGGGUCGUGUUGUAAAUGCUCUGGCUAAACCUAUUGACGUGAAAGGCGAAAUUAUAGCUUCCGAAUCGCUCUUAAUUGUAUCUCCUGCUCCAGGUAUAAUUUCCAGGCGUUCUGUAUACGAACCUCUUCAAACAGGGCUUAUGGCUAUCGAUUCGAUGAACCCUAUAGGGCGCGGUCAGCGAGAGUUAAUUAUUGGGGACAGAUAGACUGGCAAAACAGCAGUAGCCACAGAUACAAUUCUCAAUCAAAAAGGGCAAGGUGUAAUCUGUGUUUAUGUAGCUAUCGGUCAAAGAGCAUCCUCCAUAGUUCAAGUAGUAACUCCUUUCCAUGAGGAGGGGGCCAUGGAAUACACUAUUGUGGUAGCUGAAAAGGCGGAUUAACCUGCUACAUUACAAUACCUCGCUCCUUACACGGGAGCAGCCCUGGCUGAGUAUUUUAUGUACCGCGAACGACAUACUUUAAUAAUUUAUGAUGAUCUCUCCAAACAGGCACAAGCUUAUCGCCAAAUGUCCCUUCUAUUAAGAAGACCUCCCGACCGUGAGGCUGAUCCAGGGGAUCAUUUUAUUUGCAUUCACGCCUUUUAGAAAGAGCCGCUAAAUUAAAUUCUCUUUUAGGCGAAGGAAGUAUGACCGCUUUACCAAUAGUUGAGACUCAAUCUAGCGACGUUUCCGCCUAUAUUCCUACUAAUGUAAUCUCCAUUACAUAUGGACAAAUAUUCUUAUAUGUGGAUCUAUUCAAUGCCGGAAUUCGACCCGCUAUUAAUGUGGGUAUUUCUGUUUCCGGAGUAGGAUCCGCGGCUCAAAUUAAAGCCAUGAAACAAGUAGCUGGCAAAUCAAAAUUGGAACUAGCGCAAUUCGCAGAGUUACAAGCCUUUGCACAAUUCGCCUCUGCUCUCGAUAAAACAAGUCAGAAUCAAUUGGCAAGGGGUCGACGAUUAAGGGAAUUGCUUAAACAAUCCCAGGCAAAUCCUCUCCCAGUGGAAGAGCAGAUAGCUACUAUUUAUACCGGAACAAGAGGAUAUCUUGAUUCGUUAGAAAUUGAACAGGUAAAUAAAUUUCUGGAUGAGUUACGUAAACAUCUAAAAGAUACUAAACCUCAAUUCCAAGAAAUUAUAUCUACUAGCAAGACAUUCACCGAGCAAGCAGAAAUCUUUUUGAAGGAAACUAUUCAGGAACAGCUAGAACGGUUUUCUCUUCAGUAACAAAUAAAUUUUGCAUGUCUACUCUUGUUAGUAGAAUAGGAAUCAUUGAGAAAGCUUUUUCAUUUGAAUCUUGCAAAGAAGUUUUCUUUGUUUUUAGUUUUGUAUAGUUAUUUAAAGAAUAGAUAGAAAUAAGAUUGCGUCCAAUAGAAUUUGAACCUAUACCAAAGGUUUAGAAGACCUUUGUCCUAUCCAUUAGACAAUGGACGCCUUUCUUUCAUAUUUUAUUCUUUCUUUUAUUUUUUGCUUCUUCCAAGAAAAAACUGUUAGACCAAAACUCUUUUAGGAAAUAAAAAAAUCCAGAUACAAAUGCAUGAUGUAUAUAUUAUAUCAUGCAUAUAUCAUAAAGAAGGAGUAUGGAGCCGGUAGUGGGAAUCGAACCCGCAACCCCAAGGUUAUGAGCCUUAGAGCUACCAAACUGCUCUAUGCUCUUAAACUAAAGAGGGGUAACUAGUGGAUAAAAGAGGGUUGGAUACACCCCUCUACCAAUAUCUAUACAAAUAGAAUAGUCCAUUUAUACAGAAUGGUAAAGAGGGCUCCUCUAUGAUUAUCAAUUCCAGAAAUCCAUACAAAUACGAAAGGGUAUUUUAUCCUUACCAACUGGAUCUUGUUGCACCCGGUAACAAACAUUCAUAAACCAUUUCUCGAAGUACGUGUCCGGAUAGCCCAAAAUGUCGAUAGUUAGCUCUAGGUCUUCGGUCAAAAACCAACGUCGAUGAAGGCGUGUAGGUGCACUAUUACGCGGUAGGGAUUGCAAUUUUUCUCGCGUUUUCCUUUUUCACUCAAACUCAAGGGAGAAACUUUGCUUAUUAUCUUUUUUUAAAGAUUGAUGAAUCAAAUGAUAUUUCCGUUCUAAUUUCUGCCGCUUCUUCUCCCUCUGAAUCAAACUUUUUUUUGCCAUAAUGUGUCAUUGCUAUUAUUACCAAGUAUACGGUUCUAAUCCUAGAUGGAAAAAUAAAUAGAAAAAGGGAUCUAAAAAGGCAGAUCCUCCCUCUCUAUCAAGAGUAAUGAACUAGGUGCUGAUAUAGUACAAAAAAACAAACUAAAUUAACCAAACUUGCCUGAUGUUGAGGGAAUCAAGAAAGCUGCAUAAGUGAAUAUAUAACCCACGGAAAAGUGAGCUAAUCCAACCAAUCUUGCUUGCAUAAUGGAAAGAGCCACAAGCUUAUCUCUACAGCGAAUUAAAUUAGCUAAAGGUGUGCGUUCAUGAGCCCAUGCUAAAGUCUCAAUUAAUUCCUGCCAAUACCCCCGCCAGGAAAUUAAGAACAUAAAUCCAGUAGCCCAAACAAGAUGUCCAAAUAAGAACAUCCACGCCCAUACCGAUAAACUAUUCAUCCCAAAAGGAUUAUAUCCAUUGAUAAGUUGUGAAGAGUUUAACCAUAGGUAAUCUCUUAACCAUCCCAUCAAAUAAGUGGAGAAUUCAUUAAAUUUUGAAACAUUGCCCUGCCAUAAUGUGAUAUGUUUCCAAUGCCAAUAAAAAGUAACCCACCCAAUGGUAUUUAACAUCCAGAAAACUGCCAAAUAAAAUGCGUCCCAAGCAGAAAUAUCACAAGUACCGCCGCGCCCUGGGCCGUCACAAGGAAAACUAUAUCCAAAAUCCUUUUUAUCUGGCAUUAAUUUGGAACCGCAUGCAUCUAAAGCGCCCUUUACUAAAAUCAAUGUAGUUGUAUGCAAACCUAGAGCAAUAGCAUGAUGAACCAAGAAAUCCCCAGGUACUAUUGUUAAGAAAAGAGAAUUACUAUUCUCAUUAACAGCAUUCAACCAUCCGGGCAACCAUAAGCUUUGACCCGCAUUGAAAGAGGGGCCAUUCGUUGAAGAUAAGAGUAUAUCUCGUCUUGCCAUGAGCAGAUUGUAUCCAUUGGGCAAACAUAGGUUCAAUCAAGAUUUGCUUUUCUGGAGUACCAAAAGCAAGCAUGACGUCGUUAUGAACAUAAAGGCCCAAGGUAUGGAAUCCUAGAAAGAGGCUAGCCCAACUUAAAUGAGAUAUGAUAGCUUCUUUAUGGUCUAACAUUCUUACCAAUACAUUAUCCUCAUUCUGUUCCGGAUUGUAAUCCCUAAUGAAAAAAUAGCUUCAUGAGAAAAAGCCCCUGUCAUGAUGAACCCUGCAAUAUAUUGAUGAUGAGUAUAUAAAGCAGCUUGAGUAGUAAAGUCUUGUGCUAUCAAUGCAUAAGGAGGUAAAGAGUACAUAUGUUGACCUACCCUAAAGAAGCUAGAGAAAGACCUAACUGAAAAUGAAUUGAAUUGUUUAUUGUGUCAUAAAGGCCCUUAUGCCCACGCCCUAAUCGACCCCCCGGAGGAGUAUGCUCUUCUAAAAGAUCUUUAAUACUGUGCCCAAUUCCGAAGUUAGUUCGAUACAUGUGACUGGCAAUGAGAAAAAUAAUUGCAAUAGCUAAAUGAUGGUGAGCCAUAUCGGUCACCCAUAAACUUUGUGUUUGUGGAUGGAAUCCCCCAAGAAGAGUUAGAAUGGAAGUUCCCGCUCCUUGAGCAGUACCAAAUAAAUGAUUACUCAAAUCAGGGUUUUGGGCAUAAAGAUUCCAUUGACCCGUCAAAAGGGGUCCCAACCCCUGGGGAUAGGGUAAUACAUCUAAGAAAUUAUUCCAUGGAACGUACUCCCCCUGGAUGCGGGAAUAGCAACAUGAACUAAAUGUCUUGUCCAAGCCAAAGAACUUACCCCGAAUAGUCCUGACAAAUGAUGAUUGAGACGAGAUUCCGCGUUUUUGAACCACGAAAGGCUUGGUUUCCAUUUGGGUUGUAGAUGUAACCAACCCGCUAUUAAGGACAUCGUAGAAAGAAAUAAUAGAAAAAGAGCUCCAGUAUAAAGAUCCUCAUUGGUGCGUAAUCCUAUUGUAUACCACCACUGAUAAACUCCAGAAUAAGCAAUAUUCAUUGGACCAGGAGCACCUCCUUGAUUAAAGGCUUCCAAAGCGGGUUGACCAAAAUGAGGAUCCCAAAUCGCAUGAGCAAUAGGUCUUACGUGUAAAGGAUCCUGUAUCCAUGAUUCAAAAUUUCCUUGCCAAGCUACAUGAAACAGAUUUUCGGACGUCCAUAGAAAGAUUAUUGCUAAUUGCCCAAAGUGAGAAGCAAAAAUGUUCUGAUAAAGACGUUCUUCAGUAAUAUCAUCAUGACUUUCAAAAUCAUGUGCGGUAGCAAUACCAAACAAAAUACGACGAGUAGUGGGGUCCUGAGCUAAGCCUUGGCUAAACCUGGGAAAUCUUAAUUCCAUAAUGCCUUUCAAAUCCUCCUAGCCACUAUCCUACUGCAAUAAUUCUCGCUAAGAAGAAUGCCCAUGUCGUGGCAAUUCCACCCAGAAGGUAAUGGGUUACUCCUUGUAUAAUGCUCAAGGCUCUAGGCUGAGUAGCAGGAGCAACUUUUAAUUUGUUAUGAGCCCAAACGAUAGAUUCAAUGAGUUCUUGCCAAUAACCACGACCGCUGAAUAAAAACAUUAAACUGAAGGCCCAGACAAAAUGAGCACCUAAGAAAAAAAAGACCAUAUGCAGAUAAUGAAGAACCAUAAGACUGAAUGACUUGCGAUGCCUGUGCCCACAAGAAAUCUCGAAGCCACCCAAUAAUCAUAAUGGAACUCUGUGCAAAGUUUCCCCCUAUAAUAUGAGUUACCACCCCUUGAUCACUUAUAGUACCCCAAACAUCCGACCGCAUUUUCCAACUGAAAUGGAAAAUGACUACCAAAAUUGCAUUGUACAUCCAGAAUAAACCUAAGAAAACAUGAUCCCGGGCGGAUACUUGACAUGUUCCCCCUCGGCCAGGCCCAUCGCAAGGAAAGCGAAAACCUAGAUUUGCUUUAUCGGGUAUCAAACGGGAACUCCGAGCAAAUAAAACACCUUUCAAAAGUAUUAAUACAGUCACAUGUAUGGUAAAUGCAUGAAUGUGAUGGACUAAAAAAUCUGCGGUUCCUAAUGGAAUAGGUAACAAAGCCACCUUGCCACCUACUGCUACUAACUCGCCACCUCCCCACGUUAAGCUAGUACUUGUUGUUGCACCAGGAGCUGUUACGCCAAGCGCAGUAGCAUGGAUAUUUUGUACCCAUUGAGAAAAGAUAGGUUGUAAUUGUAUGGCAGUAUCCGAAAACAUAUCUCGUGGACAGCCUAAAGCACUCAUGGUAUCAUUAUGAAUGUACAAGCCAAAACUGUGAAAACCUAGAAAUAUACAUACCCAGUUAAGGUGGGAUAUGAUUGCAUCGCGGUGUCUAAGGACGCAAUCUAAUAGAUCAUUUGUAUCGAGUAGUUGGAUCAUACUCUCUUACCAUAAAAAUUGUUGCAUGUGCAGCAGCACCGACUAUUAGAAAUCCGCCAAUCCACAUGUGGUGUGUGAACAAGGAAAGUUGUGUACCAUAGUCAGUAGCUAGGUAUGGAUAGGGAGGCAGAGAAUACAUAUGAUGAGCUACAACAAUGGUUGUAGAGCCUAGCAUAGCUAGGUUAAGAGAUAACUGAGCACGCCAUGACGUUGUUAAGAUUUCAUAAAGAACCUUAUGGCCUUGUCCUGUAAAUGGGCCCUCGUGAGCCUCCAAAAUAUCUUUAAGUCCAUGGCCAAUACCCCAAUUGGUCCUAUACAUAUGACCUGCGAUUAGGAAAAGAAUAGCAAUAGCUAAAUGAUGGUGCGCAAUAUCGGUCAGCCAGAGACCACCGGUUACUGGAUCUAGUCCUUCACGAAAAGUCAGAAAUUCUGCGUAUUUGGACCAAUUUAAAGUGAAAAAGGGGUUGCUCCUUCAGCAAAACUAGGAUAAAGUUGAGCCAAAAUGUCCCGAUUCAAGAUAAAUUCAUGAGGAAGUGGUAUCUCUUUAGGAUCCACCCCAGCGUCAAGAAAUUGGUUAAUUGGUAAAGAUACAUGAAUUUGGUGCCCCGCCCAAGAAAGAGACCCAAGUCCUAAUAAUCCCGCUAAGUGGUGAUUCAACAUGGAUUCUACAUCUUGCAACCAGGCCAAUUUGGGAGCGGCGUUGUGAUAAUGGAACCAACUAGCAAAAAGCAUUAACGCUGCAAAAAUCAAUGCACCAAUUGCAGUACAAUAGAAUUGUAAUUCACUAGUUAUUCCAGAUGCUCGCCAAAGCUGAAAAAACCAGAGGUUAUUUGGAUUCCUCGGAAACCCCCGCCUACAUCACCAUUCAAUAUUUCUUGCCCUACUAUAGGCCAAACUACCUGAGCACUGGGUCCAAUGUGAGUAGGAUCACUUAGCCAUGCUUCAUAAUUGGAAAAACGGGCGCCAUGAAAGUACAUGAGACUCAACCAAAGAAAGAUAAUGGAAAGUUCCCCGAAAUGAGCACUAAAGACUUUUCGAGAAAUCUCCUCCAAAUCACUAGUAUGACUAUCGAAAUCGUGAGCAUCAGCAUGUAGGUUCCAGAUCCAAGUGGUAGUAUCAGGGCCCUUAGCUAGUGUUCUUGAGAAAUGGCCGGGUCUGGCCCAUUCCUCAAAAGUUGUUUUUACAGGAUCCCUAUCCACAACAAUUUUUACUUCUGGUUCCGGCGAACGAAUAAUCAUUAAGUCCUCCUCUUUCCGGACAAGACAUACAAAGAGACCCACCAACUGUCUUUUUAGUGAAUCUUUGAAAGAUAUAUAUUUUGAAAGAUAGAUUUUGAACAAUAGAUAUUGUGAUUAGUUCUUUUCUUUACUAUCUACCAUCCUUCUAUUUUUUUUAGUUAUUCACUGGAGCAAUUAUAUAUUGAAGUCAAUUUGAGGCAAGUGUUCGGGUCUAUUAUGACAUAAAGAUUAGGUGCCUAACGGACAUUGUUUAUCUUGAAAAACAAAUAUUUCUCGACGUAAGAAAAAAAUCUUUUUUAUUUUUAAUUUAAGAAACUAGUGUAUUUUUUUGAGGGCAUAAGCUCCUAUCUAUAUCUACUUUCCUUGAGCAUAAUAUAGGGUUUUUUAUUUGAUUCUAAAUUCCAAGAUAACUCAUUAGAAUUAUUAAUAAGAUGGUCCUAAUAUGUUAGCAAUAUUUAGAUUGCCCCCGCUUUUUAUUCACUUUAUUACUUCUAUUCUAGACCCUAUCCCUAUGGUUUAUUCUUAUGAAAUAUCAUAUAAAAUAGAAGGUAUAAGAAAUGGAUAUAAUGAAAUUCUUGAUUCGAUCUUACGAACUAAUUUAUUUGAUUAAUGGAUCAAAAACCAAACCACCCAUUUUAUGAAAAAGAAGGAGCAUGGUCUUCUUCAAAUUCAAAGCGCUUCGUAAUCUUCAACCAGUUCUAUGCUUCAAUAUAAUUUCCUGGAGUAAGCGCUAUAGCUUGUUUCCAAUAUUCAGCAGCUUGAUCAAACCAAGCUUUCGCAAUUUCUGAAUCACCCUGUAGAAUGGCCUGUUCUCCUCGGUCCGAAUAGGAAUUUCCUUCCCUAAGAACCAUACUUGAAAGUUUCCUACCUCAUACGGCUCAGAAAUUGCUAUCUGAAUUUCCCCUAUCUUAACUGAAUUCGAUUUAUCAAAAAUCGAUCCAAUUUGUUCUUGGGUUAAGCAGAAGAAAUUAAUUACCUAAGUUUCAAACCCUAAUUUUUAUCAAUAUUCAGUUUGAUCUUUUUUCCCACCUUCAGAAGAAUGAAGCAUAGAUAGAUAUAGAGCCUUCGUUCAAAUUUUCUGAAAGGUAACUAUCCCGGUUUCAUAUAUGAAAUCUCUAUAGAAUCCUUGAAAAAGACUUUUUUCCAUAAGAAAGAAAAAUUAACUUAGUAUCUUUGGGAUCUGAUACUACACCGCUGCUUAAUCCCUUAGUGGAUCGGCUCUAUUACAUAAGCGGAUUCCUAAAUUUUGCCCCAUAUCAUGGGAUAAGUAAGCAGUUUUUUUGAUUGACCUCCUCCAGACUAGAGAGGAGGUCAAAUUGAAAUUGGAGUUACAAUUCAAUUUUGUUAAGUUAUUUUACUCUGCUUCUACAUAAAAUAGAUGGAAUCACGCUCUAUAGGAUUUUAACCUACGACAUCGGGUUUUGGAGACCCCCGUUCUACCGAACUGAACUAAGAGCGCUUUCAUUCAUUCAAAAAGAUUUUUUUUCUAUUCCUAAUGUAUCUCACGUACGUAUAGUUUCCACAAAUUCAAGUUAUACCCACUUUACUUUAAUUGAUCUCGUCGCUACUGCCUAUAUAGAAGAAAGAAGUAAUAGGUAGGGAUGACAGGAUUUGAACCUGUGACAUUUUGUACCCAAAACAAACGCGCUACCAAGCUGCGCUACAUCCCUUUUCCAAAUUAAAUUAUUGUACAAUGCCAUUGUACACAAUUCUUGUCUUCUUUUCCACAUCAUAAUUUUCUUCUUCUUUCUUUCUCUAUCUAUAUAUAGAACCCUCGUGUCAUUUCUUCUUUUUGGUCUCAUAUAAUUAAGGAAUUAUAUACAUAUAAAAUCCAAUAUAAUUUCGCCUAUAAAAGAAGGAUUACUUUUCCUUGGUAAAAUAUAGGAAGAAGGAGUCAUCUUUUUCUUUUUCAGGGAUAGGAAAAUUUCGUUGAUAUGGUUCAUUUUAUAUAUAGCAUAACAAUCUUGGGCAAGAGUUUAUGAUCAUAUAUGUAUUCCAACAAGGAAGGAGGAUUUUCAAUGCGGGAUAUAAAAACAUAUCUCUCUGUAGCACCCGUGCUAAGUACUCUAUGGUUUGGUGCUUUAGCAGGUUUAUUGAUAGAAAUUAAUCGUUUAUUCCCAGAUGCUUUGUCAUUCCCUUUUUUUAAUUCUAGUUAUUGCUAUGGGAGGGAUAGAUUUCUUCGUGAUAUGACAAAAUUUGAUCCUUGUCAAUCUUUUUUUAGUAUCAGAAGGAAAAAGAAAGAAAAGAUGGAUUGGGUUGAACCUCGGAGUCAUUAAAAAUUUGGUAAACCCCAUUUUUUUAUAGAAAUUCAAUUUAAAGGGGUACCCAAGCUAAAUAAGGCCUCAGAAAUCAGAGCAUAGAAAAGGCGUGGCUGGCUAAUUAAAUGAAAGGAUUUCGAACCAAAAUCUUUGCUAAUUCGACAAGGAUUGUAUUCUUUAAUUAUUUCUCUAUUUUUUAUUACUUAAUUUAAGAAUAAAAAAAUUAUUCUAAUGAAUUUUAUUCUUCUUCUUCGGAUUCAAAAUAGAAGAAUAAAAGAAUAAGUAGAAGAAUUAAGUUAAGUCAAUCCAAAAAGAAAAGGAGGUUCAUGGCCCAGGGAAAAGAUGUUAGAAUCAGAGUUAUUUUGGAAUGCAUCAGUUGUGUUCGAAAAGGUGCCAAUGAGGAACCGACAGGGAUUUCUAGAUAUAGUACUCAAAAGAAUCGCCACAAUACACCCGGACAAUUAGAAUUCAAAAACAUUUGUCGUUAUUGUCGCAAGCAUACGACUCAUCACGAAAUAAAGAAAUAGGAACAUCGUGUGUUCGAUCUUUCCAAACAACAGAACAAGUAAGAAGUUCAUAUUUAAUAUAUAAAGAGAACAUAGUAUAGAAUAGAAAAUACAAAUCAACUCAUUUGAUUUCCGGUAGAUAUUAUUUCAUAUGUAUAAAGGGUAUUCAUAUACUAUAAUAUGAAUCAAAUAAGAUAUGGAUCAAAGAAAAACUACUUCUGGCCUAAAUUAAUAAAAUAAAGAAGUGAAUUUUCAAAUUUUAAAUAAUGAAUAAAUCAUGUAUACAUCUAAACAACCUUUUCUUAAACCUAGGCAACCCUUUAGUAAAUCCAAGCAAACUUUUAAUAAAUCCAAGCAACCCUUUCGUAAAUCCAAGCAAACUUUUCGUAAAUUCAAGCAACCUUUUCGUAAAUCUAAACAACCUUUUCGUAGGCGUCCCCGGAUUGGCCCAGGAGAUCGAAUUGAUUAUAGAAACAUGAGUUUAAUUAAUAGAUUUAUUAGUGAACAAGGAAAAAUAUUAUCGAGACAAAUAAAUAGAUUAACCUUGAAGCAACAACGAUUAAUUACUCUUGCUAUAAAACAUGCUCGUAUUUUAUCUUUCUUACCGUUUCGUAACUAUGAGAGCGAAAAGCAAUUUCAAGCCCAGUCAAUUUCAAUAAUUACAGGUUCUAGACCCAGAAAAAAUAGACAUAUUCCUCAAUUAACGCAAAAGUACAAUUCCAAUCGAAACUUAAGAAACAACAACCAAAAUUUAAGAAACAACAACCGGAACUUAAGUUCCGAUUGUUGAUGUUUUAUUCAAAUUCGAAAGGGCCAGACCUAUAUAUAUUAUAAAGAAAGUAAUCCAACUCGUUGAUUCCUACCACUUAAUCUUAAUUUAUUGUAUCUUCCCGGAGUUCCCUCUCCGGGAAUUCAUCUUUUAUUAUUCCAGUAUAUUACUUUAUUUAUACCUUUAAUUGAUGAUCUUUAUUUUAUUGGAAAUCGUGUAAAGAUUAUUUGGAUUUGAUACAGCUACUUGUGCAAACAUUUUACGAUUAAGAAUCAAUUUCUUCUUGUACAUGUUGUGUAUUAAUUUACUAUAACUAUCAAAUACUUUAUAUACCCGCGUAGCUGCAUUUAUCUGAGUGAUCCACAAAUGACGAAAAUCCCUCUUUUGCCUACCUCUAUCUCGAUGAGAGGAAACAAAAGCUCUUUUUACCUCUUGGGUAAUCAUUCGAUUAAGUCUUAAAUGAGCCCCUCUAAAGUUUGAGGCAAAUCAACGCAUUUUUGUUUGUCGUCUCCAGGCUAUAUAUCCUCGCGGAACUCUGGUCAUUGAAUCAAAUUAACCUUAAUGAAUAACUAAUUAUUUCUCUUCUUUUAGCCACCCUUUUUCUCAUUAAUAACAAAACUAAUUAUUCCGAUAUGUAAAAUAUUAAUUCCAAUGGCUUUUGCUAUAGUAACCUCCCCAACCAUGAUUUUUUAUUCCACUCCGUUCAGUUAUUUCUAUACAAAAUAACAAAUUCAUUCUAAUAAUACUAGAAAAAAUAGUGGGUUCCGUCGUUUCCAUGGUUCCCUUUUAAACGGUGAGGCCCUCUGUAUACACCGGACCCCUUUCUUUCAUCAAAAGGUAUUGCGAACUUGUAUAGUCCACAUUCUUUGGCUCUUCCUAUCCAUUAUAGAGUAAAUAGCUCUUUUCACAAUAAGAGUUAUCCAUACAGUGACGGUAUUUAAUUAUGAAAGUUGGCUGAGUAGCUGACCCUGUUAGUCCGUUCUUUUAAGAUAAAGGAGCAUAAGCCUUUUUCUUUUUAUUACUAUUUCUUCCACUUAAUGGAUAACCAUUUGCUACCAAUGGGAGAAUUGCUUCUUAUUUCCAAUUUAGAUAAUUGGAUUUGCACCAAAGGAAACCAUAAAUUCCAUAUACCAUAGAAAUCUAGGAUAGACAAGCUAUAUCCUAUUCAUUGGUACUAAUCAUGGAUACUUCAAUUUUUUUUAUUUUUUUUAAGUAAUGAUCUAAACGAGUCGCACAUACACCCUAGCACAUGUUCCUCGACGUUGAGGGCAUCCUUUAAGCGCGGCCAUUUUUUGAGCAUUUCGUAUUGGCUGUCUUGCGUUUCUAAUAAGUUGUUUAACCGUCGGCAUGUUGUAUGUAUAUAGAAAAAAAUGGAAUUGUUUAGAUCCAUCUUAACCUGAUGAUUGCUCAUCAUGAGUUCUUUCUAUUUUCUAUUAAAUCGAGGAACACACGAAUUUAGCUGUGAAAUAACUUUACAAGAAAUCCGGACACUACCAAUCCUUAAACAUUUCUGGAAACCACACUAGAUCAGUAUCACAGUGCUUGUCAAUCAUUUCAUCCCCUCCGAUAUAGACAAGUCCAUAAGUUUUGGCUUCGUCUGCUGACAUAAAAACAUCCCUUUCCAUGUCUUCGGAUACAACCCAAAAAGGCUUGCCUGUUCUUACUGCAUAAACCCUUGUGAUCAUUUCGCGAACUUUGUGUAACUCUUGUACUUCUAGUAAAAAUUCUGGUGUCCUUGCCCGAUAAUAAGCAUUACCAGGUUGGUGAAGCAUAAUCCUCGUGUUAGAGAAUGCUAUAUGCUUGGUGGGUUCUCCUCCAAGCAUAAUGAAGGACGCCAUGGAGGCGGCUAUUCCGAGGCAUAUUGUAUAUACAUAUCCGGUGUCACCGCUUGCAUCGUAUCAAAAAUAGCCAUUCCUGAGAUUAGCCACCCGCCCGGGAGUUUAUAAACAAAAAAUAUCACUAAUUCCAUCUUCUAUACUCAGAUAUACCAUGAGACCUGUAAUAUGAUUCGUGAUCUCGCAACGAAUCUCUUGACCUAAAAAAAGUGUCCUUUCUCAUACAUAACAUUGUAUAAGUCAACCCAAGUCGCUUCUUCAUCUCCAGGAAUCCGGUGAGGUACUUUUGGAACACCAAUGGGCAUAUUAGAUUAAUACUAUUAAAUUUAAGUAAGAAAACCACACUUUAAUAUGGAAACGUAAGAAUGGAACAGAAAGAAAGAAUCUAUAGUUUAUUGUCUUAAUUUUUAUUCUUAUUCUAUAUGAAUACUAUAGAUUAUAUUAAUACGUAGAUUGAAAGGUUAUACAUAUAAGGAAUGUAAGACAGACUGAAUAAAGAAAAAGGAAUGGGUGAUUCGAAUGCUAAACAAAUAGGGGUAGCGAUCUAUUCUUCAUUUUUUCCAAAUUGGCCAAGUUACCCAUUGCAUAUUGGCACUUAUCGAGUAUAGAAUAGAUCUGCUUCUCUUUCUUCUUAUGAACAUAAUUGGCUUCUUAUUUUUAAAGGAAUGAAAUAAAUAUUCGCGCUUUCUGACACAGAAUCCCCUAGAAGGGUUAGGUACAUAGGAUAUGGAUAGUCUUUUUCAAUGCGAUAAAAUAAAGCGACAUCAUGUCUAUUUUUCUUUGCUAAAGGGGUAUUUCCAUGGGUUUGCCUUGGUAUCGUGUUCAUACUAUCGUAUUGAAUGAUCCGAGUCGAUUGCUUGCGGUGCAUAUAAUGCACACAACUCUAGUUUCUGGUUGGGCUGGCUCAAUGGCUUUAUACGAAUUAGCAGUUUUUGAUCCUUCUGAUCCUGUUCUGGAUCCAGUGUGGAGACAAGGUAUGUUCGUAAUUCCCUUCAUGACUCGUUUAGGAAUAACGGAUUCGUGGGGUGGUUGGUGUAUUUCAGGAGGAACUGUAACAAAUCCGGGUAUUUGGAGUUAUGAAGGUGUGGCAGGUACGCAUAUUGUGUUUUCUGGCUUGUGUUUCUUGGCAGCGAUCUGGCAUUGGGUAUAUUGGGACCUAGAAAUAUUCUCUGAUGAGCGCACGGGAAAACCCUCUUUGGAUUUGCCCAAGAUCUUUGGAAUUCAUUUAUUUCUUGCAGGGGUGGCUUGCUUUGGCUUUGAGGCAUUUCAUGUAAUGGGUUUGUAUGGUCCUGGGAUAUGGGUAUCCGAUCCUUAUGGACUAACUGGAAAAGUACAAGCUGUAAAUCUAGCGUGGGGUGCAGAAGGUUUUGAUCCUUUUGUUCCGGGGGGAUAGCUUCUCAUCAUAUUGCUGCGGGUACAUUGGGUAUAUUAGCGGGCUUAUUCCAUCUUAGUGUCCGUCUGCCUCAACGUUUAUAUAAAGGAUUAUGUAUGGGCAAUAUUGAAACUGUACUUUCCAGUAGUAUCGCUGCUGUUUUUUUUGCAGCUUUCGUAGUUGCUGGAACUAUGUGGUAUGGGUCAGCAACGACUCCAAUCGAAUUAUUUGGGCCUACUCGUUAUCAGUGGGAUCAGGGAUACUUUCAGCAAGAAAUAUAUUGAAGAGUUAGCAAUGGUUUAGCCGAAAAUCUUAGUUUAUCAGAAGCUUGGUCUAAAAUUGCCGAAAAAUUAGCCUUUUAUGAUUAUACUGGUAAUAAUCCGGCAAAAGGGGGAUUAUUCAGAGCAGGUUCAAUCGACAAUGGGGAUGGAAUAGCUGUUGAAUGGUUAGGACAUCCCGUCUUUAGAGAUAAAGAAGGACGUUAGCUUUUUGUAGGCCGUAUGCCUACUUUUUUUGAAACAUUUCCGGUUGUUUUAGUAGAUGAGGAGGGAAUUGUUAGAGCAGACGUUCCUUUUAGAAGAGCAGAAUCCAAAUAUAGUGUUGAACAAGUAGGUGUAACGGUGGAGUUCUAUGGUGGCGAACUUAAUGGAGUAAGUUAUUCUGAUCCUGCUACUGUAAAAAAAUAUGUGAGGCGGUCUCAAUUAGGGUAAAUUUUUGAAUUAGACCGUGCUGCUUUGAAAUCUGUGGGUGUUUUUAGCAGCAGUCCAAGGGGUUGGUUCACUUUUGGUCAUGCUACCUUUGCUUUGCUCUUCUUAUUCGGACACAUUUGGCAUGGCGCUAGAACAUUGUUCCGAGAAGUUUUUGCUGGUAUUGAUCCAGAUUUGGAUGCUCAAGUUGAAUUUGGAACUUUCCAAAAAGUGGGAGAUCCAACUACAAGGAAACAGGCAGUCUGAUACACAUUGUUAUAGUAUCUUUCACCUCUCUUUUUUAAUUUGACAUGGGAAACAUCUCCCAUCCUUUCUUUGACUCUUUUUCUUUUUUAUAUGGGAAAUUAUCCCAAAUGACAAAUGAAUAGGUGUGGAAGUUAUAAUUGUAAAUAAACGAGGAUCGAAUCUAUGGAAGCAUUGGUUUAUACGUUCCUUUUAGUUUCGACUUUAGGGAUAUUUUUUUCGCUAUCUUCUUCCGAGAACCACCUAAGGUUCCACCAACUCCAACUAAAAGAAUAAAAUAAUUUCAUUUAAGUAAGAAGUCCCCCUAUCUGGGAGACUUCUUACUUAAAUUAGUCUCCGUGUUCUUCGAAUGGAUCUCUUAAUUGUUGAGAGGGUUGCCCAAAUGCGGUAUAUAAGGCAUACCCAGUAAAGCUUACAAGUAAACCAUAUAUGGAGAUGGCGACUAAAGUUCCUGUUUCCAUUUUUAUAGAAUUUCAAGAUUACAAUGGAUCUACGAAAAUAUCGGGUAUUUACAACUACAACGGAAUAGUAUACAAAGUCAACACCAAUGAUUAAAUAGAAUUUAUGGCUACACAAACCGUUGAAGAUAGUUCUAAACCUAGCCCAAAACGAACUGGUGCAGGUAGUUUACUGAAACCCUUGAAUUCGGAAUAUGGGAAAGUGGCCCUGGGUUGGGGGACUUCUCCUUUUAUGGGGAUCGCAAUGCCUUUAUUCGCUAUAUUCCUAUCUAUCAUUUUAGAUAUUUAUAAUUCUUCCGUUUUACUGGAUGGAAUUUUAACCAAUUAGGUUUCUACUAACUAAAACUAGGAAGUCAGAGUUUUUCCAUCCAAAAAAGCAUUUCUAGUUUAAGAUCUACAUUUCUAGAUAUUAUGGUAGUUCGACCGUGGAAUAUUUUUGUUUCGGUAUCUCUGGAAUAUGAGUGUGUGACUUGUUAGAAUUGAUCCUAUUGAUAAUACAUAGAAAGGGCAUGUUAUCACUAUCAAGAUGAUUCUAAUUCGUCAGAUAUUAUUUAUUCUAGUAUCUGGAACACGAAAUAGAUAGAGUGGAUCAAAAAAAUGGAACUAUGAUUCAUACUCACUAUUAAGACCUUGCAACCAGACUGAAAAAUUCAAGUAGUUCUUCAAUAAAAAUAAAAAGAAAUUUUCUUCCUUCUAAUUUUGUUUGCCCAAAAAACAACUUUUUUUCUCUCGAUUUUGUCGAUUCAUUACACUGAUUCAAUAAAUGAUUAUCAAGCGGUUCUUAUUCGAAGAACCCUUGCCUUUUGUUUAGCUUGAAACUAAAUCAUCGUGGCCCUAGUAUGAAUCUAAGGUUUUAAUUGAACUGAUUCAUAGGAUCUCAACAAGAUAAUUUCUAUAUUACGCAUAAAAAAACAAAUCCUUUAUAGGGAAGAGAAAAGUCAAGAAGCCUCUAAUGACCAACAUAAGGGAAAGGAAGAAAGAAAGACGCGCCAACUUGAGAUUUUUUGGCAUUAUCAUCACAAAGAAGAUAUUCUGGAUUUUUCUUAUUUGAUAUCUUCAAGGCAAAUUGACCCAAUUUAGUGGCUGAUGAAGUUUUGAACCUUUUUUCUAAUAUUCGUUGAAAUUUUUUGUGUUUCUGCUUGAGCCAUAUGAGAUGAAAUUUUCAUAUACGGCUCUUAGAGGGGGACUCAGGUUAGUUACCUAUCUCAACAAAGUAUAUGAUUGGUUUGAGGAACGUCUUGAGAUUCAGGCAAUUGCAGAUGAUAUAACUAGUAAAUAUGUUCCUCCCCAUGUCAACACAUUUUAUUGUUUAGGGGGAAUUACACUUGUUUUCUAGUACAAGUCGCUACCGGUUUUGCUAUGACUUUUUACCACCGACCAACCGUUACAGAGGCUUUUUCCUCGGUUCAAUAAAUAAUGACCGAGGCCAACUUUGGUUGGUGAAUCCGAUCAGUUCAUCGAUGGUCAGCAAGUAUGAUGGUUUUAAUGAUGAUCCUGCAUGUACUUCGUGUGUAUCUCAAAGGGGGAUUUAAAAAACCCCAUGAAUUAACUUGGGUCACAGGUGUGGUUUUGGCUGUUUUGACUGCAUCAUUUGGUGUAACUAGUUAUUCUUUGCCUUGGGAUCAAAUUGGCUAUUGGGCAGUCAAAAUUGUGACAGAUGUACCUGACGCCAUUCCGGUAAUAGGAUCACCUUUAGUGGAGUUAUUACGCGGAAGUGCUAGUGUGGGCCAAUCCACUUUGACUUGUUUUUAUAGUUAACAUACCUUUGUACUGCCUCUGCUUACUGCCGUAUUUAUGUUAAUGCACUUUCCAAUGAUACGUAAGCAAGGUAUUUCGGGUCCUUUAUAGGGAAGGCAUAUCAUAGAGAAUUAUAAUUAUCAUAUAUCAUAUCGGGUAGGUUUUGGUAUUUCAUUGCUACAAGCAUGGGUUAUUGUAAAAUAACACAUGUCAUUUGGAUACUUCUCUUCAACUCCAAAGUAUUUUUAUACAAUACAAAUAGUUGAAGUUAAUUUUACGAAAGAAAAAAGGCAGAUUGUGGGAGUGUGUGACAUGAAUUAUUGAUUUGUCCAUGCAGAUAAAGAAUUGGAUCUGCCACAUUAGAAUUCACAACCAAAGGUGUCUCCGCAUCCAAUCAACAUGUAAG